rnacentral:rRNA from 1 species
AUGGUUCCUUACAAGGCGCCCGACAAGAAGGGCAAGAAAACAGAGCUACCAGAGGCCAGGGAGGGCCUCCGCCGCAGGGCUCGUCCGGGCAACCGGUCCGGGGACGCUGCGGCCUCAUCCGUACAUGAUGGGGACGAGGAUGAGGACGAGGAGGAGAGUGCCUCCUUGCACUCUAAGAAGAGGGCGGUGUCCGAGGAUGUCGAAGACGUUCAACCCCCUCAAGUUCUGAAGAGGCAGUGCCAGCCCAAGCUGGUCUUAUCUGACAGCUCGGAUGAGGAGUCCGAAGCAUCCGAGGAGAUCCCGAAGAAGGGACCUAGAGUCAAGCCCCCGGCCAGCAGUCCUCCACGCGACCGCCCCGCGGAGCAGACCUCGGAGGGGACGUCCCUGCCCGCCGAUCUGGCGUACAGUGGGUAUAUGUCACGCUCCCCACCUCCCCUGAUUCCUGAAGAGACCGGGGAGGUGUGGUCCUGA